rnacentral:tRNA from 2 species
GGGGGUUUAGCUCAGUUGGUAGAGCGUUCGCUUAGCAUUCGGCUAAUUUGCGAAAGGUCGCGUGUUCGACUCAUGCAGUCUCCA